rnacentral:ncRNA from 2 species
AUAGAAUGACAAACUUGCAGCGCGAGGAAGCCGGUGAGAGUCCGGCACGGUCGCGCCACUGUGAGCGGUUGUCGAUUGAGGAAAAUUCAAUUGGCAUCUGCAAGUCAGACCCCCGCUGCAACCUUUCCUAAGUC